UCGCUUAAGGCGGACAUACGUGAACGUGAUCGUAUUCUCAGUUUCGGCUGUGUUGUCAGAGCCUAGUCCACUAGUGAAGUUACUAGGUUUCGUGUGGCGAUAGAAUCAAGAAAUAGCAUCCAACAACAAAUUCCCGUCGCUGCUCUACUAGUAAAUACGAAGCCCCGAUCAGAAAAGGGUUCUACCUGAAACAUCUCGGGAAGCCCUCACAUCGCCGCACACCGAAGGCUCCCACCAAGAAGCAGCAAAGGCAGCAGCGCGGGCCCGUCGUCCGCCAACAAGAGCCGCGAGUCGCGGCCGCCGGCCUCUUCGCCUUCGGCCGCCACCUCCGCCCCCGCC